rnacentral:rRNA from 1 species
ACGGGAGGCAGCAGUGGGGAAUAUUGGACCAUGGGGGAAACCCUGAUCCAGCGACGCCGCGUGAGUGAAGAAGUAUUUCGGUAUGUAAAGCUCUAUCAGCAAGGAAGAAAAUGACGGUACUUGACUAAGAAGCUCCGGCUAAAUACAUGCCAGCAGCCGCGGUAAUACGUAGGGGGCAAGCGUUAUCCGGAUUUACUGGGUGUAAAGGGAGCGUAGACGGAACAGCAAGUCUGAAGUGAAAUGUAGGGGCUCAACCCCUGAACUGCCUUGGAAACUGCUGAUCUUGAGUACCGGAGGGGCAGGCGGAAUUCCUGGUGUAGCGGUGAAAUGCGUAGAUAUCAGGAAGAACACCGGUGGCGAAGGCGGCCUGCUGGACGGCAACUGACGUUGAGGCUCGAAAGCGUGGGGAGCAAACAGGAUUAGAUACCCUGGUA